CCUCCCCUGAUGUAGACUGUGGUCUGUGUUGGAUGUUGCUGUUCAGUCUGUGUCCUGUGUCUGCUCUCCUCUCCUCUCUCCUCUCCUCCACCUGUGUCUACUCCUUCUGCAGAACAACAGCUCCAACUGACUCUCAGAUCAAGACGACCAUCAGGGGAAGUGAGAGCAGAGUACAGGAGGAAGGAGACCUGUUUUACGCCUCGUUGGAUAUCCGUCAGGGACAGAAGAGACCAAAGAAGAAGAAGACAACCAAGAACUCUGACUUCAGUACCUACUCAGCCAUCAAUACCAGCAGAGUGUGAGACCUGUACCAUCCAUUAAUACCAGCAGAGUGAGACCUAUACCAUCUAUCAAUACCAGCAGAGUGUGAGACCUAUACCAGCCAUCAAUACCAGCAGAGUGAGAGACCAAUACCAGCCAUCAAUACCAGCAGAGUGAGACCUAUACCAUCUAUCAAUACCAGCAGAGUGAGACCUAUACCAGUCAUCAAUACCAGCAGAGUGAUACCUAUACAAGUCACCAAUACCAGCAGAGUGAGACCUAUACCAGCCAUCAAUACCAGCAGAGUGAGACCUACACAAAUCAUCAAUACCAGCAGAGUGAUACCUAUACAAGUCACCAAUACCAGCAGUGUGAGACCAAUACCAUCCAUCAAUACCAGCAGUGUGAGACCUAUACCAUCCAUCAAUACCAGCAGAGUGAGACCUAUACCAGCCAUCAAUACCAGCAGAGUGAGACCUUUUCCAGCCAUCAAUACCAGCGGAUUGAAACCAAUACCAUUAUUGAUCAGGGAGGACAAGGUCUUACAGCUGUGAUCGUAUGAGUUAUUAAACCAAUACCAUUAUUGAUCAGGGAGGACAAGGUCUUACAGCUGUGAUCGUAUCAGUUAUUAUGUUUUUGUACUUGUAACUUUUUAACUUUCGUUUUCUUUCAUU